rnacentral:rRNA from 1 species
UUUCAGCAACGGAUCUCUUGGCUCUCGCAUCGAUGAAGAACGCAGCGAAAUGCGAUAAGUAAUGUGAAUUGCAGAAUUCAGUGAAUCAUCGAAUCUUUGAACGCACCUUGCGCCCUUUGGUAUUCCGAAGGGCAUGCCUGUUUGAGUGU